AUAUAAUGUGAUUGGGUUCUUGCCUCAUACCAUGCAGAUAAUUCAGUUACAGGUAUUUUCCCACUAUCACUCUCUGCCCAAUAAAUUAAGCAUGACUGCAUAGGAGGCAGUAUGCAAACAAGAAAAUAUGCCUUGAAACGUUGUGAAAGAUAACAAACAGUCUCCUAAUAGUUGGCGUUUUGAUGCAGGAUUCUCAGAUACUGUGCUGAGGUAAUAUCUCCACAAAAGUCAUUUCAGGCUGAAUAAUGGUCCUGAGAAGAUGUCCAUGGCCUAUUAUCUGGAACUGGGAAACAAUUCAAAAAAGCAAGAAAAUUGCCUCUGCACCAGGAAAGGGGCCUCCGGUUAGUUAUCUAAGCUUUUGAAGUUGCUGAUCACAUGAUCGGGCCCUCCGGCCACAAAAAAGAGUACAUGACGCAGGCUAUCUGGUCAAUUAUAGUUCUCCAUCCCACAAGACUCAUGUUACAGACUCCCAACUGUCUAAUUGAAGUAAGCAGUCAUGUUGGAGAAGUCCAUGUGAUACGGAAUUUCACCAGCCUCUAAGAGCCUCUAGCCAGCAGCCACGAAAAAGGUGAGGCCUUCCGUCCUACAGUUGUGAGGAAAUGAAUCCUGUCAACAGUCAAGUGAGCUCAGAAGUGGAUUCUUCCCAAAUUGAGCCACCAGUUGAGAAUGCAGCACUUUGCAACAUUCUGAGAACCUAAGCGGAGGAACCCAUAGUCCUGACUUGCCGAAACUCUGAGAUAAAAGUGCAUUGUUUUAAGCUUGCAAGUUUGUUGUAAUGUUGUUACCCAGCAAUAUAUAAUGUACUCCCCAUAAAAAAAUGUCAUUUCAACCCAAGUUUCAGUUAAUAAUAUACUUAAUGACCUUUACUGAUGCACUAACCUU